UUAGUAUGGUUGUCUACUCCAUGUAGCAUGUCAUUUUAUAUGAUAUCAGAGCUCAAGUUUUGUUGUUAAUAGCCCACAUAUUUGUAGCUCUAUCUGGUGUCAAAGUUAUAAGCUUGAAGAAUGAUCGAGCGAUUUACGACUUUGAUCAGAUUUGUUCAAAGUAUAAUUCUUAAAGCGGUAAUUUGAUUGUUAGUGACUUCUGUGUUCAUAGCUCAAUAUAGUUGAAGAACUCCUAGUAA
rnacentral:lncRNA from 1 species